rnacentral:rRNA from 1 species
GACGAACGCUGGCGGCGUGCUUAACACAUGCAAGUCGAACGGAAAGGCCCUGCUUUUGUGGGGUGCUCGAGUGGCGAACGGGUGGGUAACACGUGAGUAACCUGCCCUUGACUUUGGGAUAACUUCAGGAAACUGGGGCUAAUACCGGAUAGCAGCUCCUGCUGCAUGGUGGGGGUUGGAAAGUUUCGGCGGUUGGGGAUGGACUCGCGGCUUAUUAGCUUGUUGGUGGGGUAGUGGCUUACCAAGGCUUUGACGGGUAGCCGGCCUGAGAGGGUGACCGGCCACAUUGGGACUGAGAUACGGCCCAGACUCCUACGGGAGGCAGCAGUGGGGAAUAUUGCACAAUGGGCGGAAGCCUGAUGCAGCAACGCCGCGUGCGGGAUGACGGCCUUCGGGUUGUAAACCGCUUUCGCCUGUGACGAAGCGUGAGUGACGGUAAUGGGUAAAGAAGCACCGGCUAACUACGUG